UUGUUUGCAGGCGCAGUCAACAGCAGUGGAAGAGCUGGCUCAUGUGUGGCUCAGGCUGACUCCACAAUCAGUAGUUUUGCAGAGGCAAGAAAUAGAAGUUAAGGAAGAGAAGAAGCCAAUCUUGAAUCAGUUAGAAUUUCCUUGGACAUAGAAAAUCUCUACAAGCAAAAACCCAUUUGAUUGAACAAGCAAGCUUAUGCAGUUAAAUAUAUCAAAGAUCUUGUCACAAAAAGUGUAAAGGGAAAGUAAAAUAAGGAGGGAGCAUGAAGAAGCCAGCUUAUAUUAAAGAUUCAAAGCAGGGAUAUAAGGAAAUUCAAGCCAAAAAUAAGGAAGAAUUCUUAUAAAUGCCCCAAGAAUGAAUUCGAUGUUUGGUCGAUAUUCCAACAGAUUUAGUAAUGCUAUUUUUAAAGUCAACAGGCUGCCCAUUUUUGCCUCACACUGCCAUGGAGUUAUGGCAAGCAUCUUGUCUUCAAUUUUAGCCCCUCCUCCAUCCCUCUCCCAGACACCCAUUGUCCUCUUUCUCACCACAUCCACCCCCUUUUUUGUCCUGUCUUUGGUGCACUAUUUAUAAUUCUUCUCAUGUCUACCACAACUAUUUUGGGUAGUAAGAACAUCAGUAUGGAGACCCCUUAAUCCUAACUAAUAUCAACUCUAUCUGUUUGGUAUUAAUUCUUGUUUAUUGAACUUGAGGCAUUGAGUACUACAAAAAUUAUAAUACACUACUGGUGAACAUUACUUUAUUAAUGAUUAGGUUCCACUUGGAUGUUUGUCAUUCGUAUGUAGCUGUUCUCUCCUUGUAGCCUGUAAACUUUCUAUGGAUGUCACAAAAAGAGUUUUAAGGAUUUUGCUUAAAUUAAAAUUAAUACAUCAAGAAAAUACUAUGCCUCAAACAAAAAAUAAUCAGUUAAUUUAGUUUUUAGAAAUCUUUUACAAAGAUACAAUAUCAGUUUCGAUGAGAUUCAUGCUGCACGGAUGGUUACACCUGUCACCUGUGGGUGGGUAAUCUUAAUACCUGUGAUGACAAGUAGACCACGGGGGAGGACUCGCAAAGGAUUUGAGUGAGGAGCCACUGAUGCUGUGUAAAUGCCAGAGCCGUGACCGUGCACUUU
rnacentral:lncRNA from 1 species